UGGCGGUAGGCCUAACACAUGCAAGUCGAACGGCAGCACAGAGGAGCUUGCUCCUUGGGUGGCGAGUGGCGGACGGGUGAGGAAUACAUCGGAAUCUACUCUGUCGUGGGGGAUAACGUAGGGAAACUUACGCUAAUACCGCAUACGACCUACGGGUGAAAGCAGGGGAUCUUCGGACCUUGCGCGAUUGAAUGAGCCGAUGUCGGAUUAGCUAGUUGGCGGGGUAAAGGCCCACCAAGGCGACGAUCCGUAGCUGGUCUGAGAGGAUGAUCAGCCACACUGGAACUGAGACACGGUCCAGACUCCUACGGGAGGCAGCAGUGGGGAAUAUUGGACAAUGGGCGCAAGCCUGAUCCAGCCAUACCGCGUGGGUGAAGAAGGCCUUCGGGUUGUAAAGCCCUUUUGUUGGGAAAGAAAUCCAGCUGGUUAAUACCCGGUUGGGAUGACGGUACCCAAAGAAUAAGCACCGGCUAACUUCGUGCCAGCAGCCGCGGUAAUACGAAGGGUGCAAGCGUUACUCGGAAUUACUGGGCGUAAAGCGUGCGUAGGUGGUCGUUUAAGUCCGUUGUGAAAGCCCUGGGCUCAACCCGGGAACUGCAGUGGAUACUGGACGACUAGAGUGUGGUAGAGGGUAGCGGAAUUCCUGGUGUAGCAGUGAAAUGCGUAGAGAUCAAGA
rnacentral:rRNA from 1 species